GAUGAACGCCGGCGGCGUGCCUAAUACAUGCAAGUCGAGCGAACGGACGAGAAGCUUGCUUUUCUGAUGUUAGCGGCGGACGGGUGAGUAACACGUGGAUAACCUACCUAUAAGACUGGGAUAACUUCGGGAAACCGGAGCUAAUACCGGAUAAUAUUUUGAACCGCAUGGUUCAAAAGUGAAAGACGGUCUUGCUGUCACUUAUAGAUGGAUCCGCGCUGCAUUAGCUAGUUGGUAAGGUAACGGCUUACCAAGGCAACGAUGCAUAGCCGACCUGAGAGGGUGAUCGGCCACACUGGAACUGAGACACGGUCCAGACUCCUACGGGAGGCAGCAGUAGGGAAUCUUCCGCAAUGGGCGAAAGCCUGACGGAGCAACGCCGCGUGAGUGAUGAAGGUCUUCGGAUCGUAAAACUCUGUUAUUAGGGAAGAACAUAUGUGUAAGUAACUGUGCACAUCUUGACGGUACCUAAUCAGAAAGCCACGGCUAACUACGUG
rnacentral:rRNA from 1 species